CAGUGGGGAAUUUUCCGCAAUGGGCGAAAGCCUGACGGAGCAAUGCCGCGUGGAGGUGGAAGGCCUACGGGUCGUCAACUUCUUUUCUCGGAGAAGAAACAAUGACGGUAUCUGAGGAAUAAGCAUCGGCUAACUCUGCGCCAG
rnacentral:rRNA from 1 species